rnacentral:rRNA from 1 species
UAACGACUCUCGGCAACGGAUAUCUCGGCUCUUGCAUCGAUGAAGAACGUAGCGAAAUGCGAUACUUGGUGUGAAUUGCAGAAUCCCGUGAACCAUCGAGUCUUUGAACGCAAGUUGCGCCCGAAGCCAAUAGGCCGAGGGCACGUCUGCCUGGGCGUCUCACA